GGCGACCUUGCGGACGCGUGCGGGGCCGAGUGCGGGACUCUGGGCUCCGGAGCGGACUGGGGCGGGUGAGGGGCGAGGAAGAGUGCCUGCCUGGACCCCCUGGCUCCCAAGGAGGGCUAGGCGUCCGGGGAACGUCUCUGCCGCUCUGCAGAGCCAGCAGGAGCAAGAAGGCAGCAUGAGAACUUCUGUUACCACUAAUUGAAAGUAGUUUAUCACUUUAUCUUUCAAAAGUUUAAUGUCAGAACUUCAAGGAGAGGAUAAAUCGUCCAAUCUGGGCCUGAGCCUGGCCUUCCCACCCUCCCGGAGUUUUGAUGUCUGAGAAGAAUCCUAGCGGAUGUGGAUUUACAUGUUAGUACCUGAAAGCGGGUGCAGCCCCCACCCUGGAAUGAGUGUACACUUCCAAAGGAUUCAUUUCCAGAGGGUGGUGGAAGGAACCACAGAGACAGCUAUGUGCCCACACGCUCAGCCAUCUGCUGUUCCAACCACACGUCUCUCCCCCUGUUUCCUGCAAAUGAUUCAUCUAUUCUUUUUCUCCUUCUUCAAAGUUAACUUCUUCAAAGACAACUGUGUAGGCUUUUAAGGGGAAAGUCAUUAAGAAAAGUGGAAUCUGGAGUUCUUAGGAUGAGGUAGAGCGGAUGAAACAGUCUGGAAUUUCACAAAGCAAAGGGUGCAGGUGUGGACUCCGGGCUCUCCUCUCUCCUCCUGGUGCACCAUUUCACGACAGGUUCUCAUCAUCCAUCAGGAACAUGUCCACAAAAAUGGCUGCACGUGAACUACGAGCGCAUGAGUUGCUAAAGAGCAGAAGAGGAGAGGACGGAAGUCGGGAGGAGGAUUCUCGAUUUUCCAGCUGAGAAUGCUGCUCAUCUUACCCGCUGUCCUACACAGCUUCUGUCUCUAAUUUUAUACCAACGAAUGGGAUCUUUGUGACUUUUUCUAAUAAGCAGACCAAAAAGCUGCCACCAAAGUCAGGCUUUCAAGGAUGCCCUAACCAAGCACCUGAGAAUGUGAUUAUGGCUGUGCCUCUGACACCAAGGGUAUUGUGGCAACAUGCUGCAUGGGAAGGGGAUGAGCAUGCCCAAGAGGAGGUAUUCCUUAGUUUUUUGUUGAAUUUCUUCAAAUUGGAGGCAGAUGGGCCUUAUUUCAAAUCCUGGCUCUGCUUCCAGCUUCUGGGACAUUAGGUGAGUUGAUAAAACUCUGGGAAUCUCAGGUACAUUGUGGGAUGAGGACACCUACCUCACCGAGUAGAGUGAGGACUGAAGAGGAUACUGUAUGCAAAGUACUUGGUGUGGUCCCUGGAACAAAGCAGAUACGCAAGUAUCAGGUGAAUAGGAACAUUCUUUAUCAUUUCACUUCCAUUUCUGCCACAUCCUGCGCCCUAAGGCUAGCCAGGUAAAGAACUCAAAGGAGAAUGGGGGUUCUGGCCUAUUCUAGUAUGGUCUUGCCCAUCAGGAGAGGAAGGGACCUGGCAAUAGGCUGCAUGGGACAGACUGUCCCUGUUAAUGCAAGACACAGGGGAGAAGGAGGGAGGCAGAGAGACAAGUAGAGCCUGUUGACACCUUCUUCCCACACCCUCAACAGCCACCACAUCCCCUGUAGCAAGUGGAGGCCCAAGUCAUGAGGGGUCCCAUUGCUGGGUAGAAUAUACAGAUCCCAGAUCAGAUUGAGCUCUUAAAGACUCCAGCAUGAUGCCUCCAUUUCUCAUCUGUAAAAUGGGUGUUAUGAUAGAACUUACAUCUUGGGUUGUUGUGAAGAUGAAAUAAGAUCUUCUCUGUAAAGGACUGAGCAGAGGGCCCAGGACAGUCAGCAAGCAGUACAUAAAUGUUAGCUGCUGUUAUUAUUUUGUUUUCAUUUCAAUAUAUGGAAUUGUUAACAGUUACUUCAUUCAUUAACCUGUUUAUUGAUUGAUCAAUUUUCAUUUAAUAAACAC
rnacentral:lncRNA from 1 species